AUUGAACGCUGGCGGCAGGCCUAACACAUGCAAGUCGAGCGAGUGGCGGACGGGUGAGUAAUGUAUGGGGAUCUGCCCGAUAGAGGGGGAUAACUACUUGAAACGGUGGCUAAUACCGCAUACCAUCUGAUGAACCCAUAUGGGAUUAGCGAGUAGGUGGGGUAAAGGCUCACCUAGGCGACGAUCCCUAGCUGGUCUGAGAGGAUGAUCAGCCACACUGGAACUGAGAAACGGCCCAGACGCCUACGGGAGGCAGCAGUGGGGAAUAUUGCACAAUGGGCGCAAGCCUGAUGCAGCCAUGCCGCGUGUAUGAUGAAGGCCUUAGGGUUGUAAAGUACUUUCAGCGGGGAGGCGUUACCCGCAGAAGAAGCACCGGCUAACUCCGUGCCAGCAGCCGCGGUAAUUC
rnacentral:rRNA from 1 species